AGAUGCCAAGCUCAGGCUUAGUGGAGCCUGACUGAAGUCUAGUGAAGGAGAGAAUCUUUACCACUGCAAAGAUGUAUGAUUCUUGUUUUAAUUGGGUAGGGUAGGUACGUAUUGUAACAAGCUCUCCUACCCCCGAAUGUCAGUGUUUAAGUUGCAUCUUUGACUAUAAGUGGAUGCUAUGGUUUGAAUGAUUGUCUCCUCCAAAACUCAUGCUGAAAUUUAAUUACCAUUUUAACAGUGUUAAGAUGUGGGACUUUUAAGAGUGAUUAGAUCAUGAGGCCUCUGCCCUCAUCAAUUAAUCAAUGCCAUUACUGGGGGAGUGGGUUUACUCCCUCUCACUCUCUGUCUCUCUCGUGCCCUCUCUCUGCCCUUUGUCCAUGUGAUGAUGCAGCAAGAAGGCCCUUGGCAGAUGCUGUCAUCGUGAUACAGGACUUCCCCGCCUCCAGAACGAAAACAGAGAACAUUUCAGUGAAGGAGGAAACAGGAAAUUCCAACAGAUCAGCAACAGUUGGAGGGCUAACCUGUCACUGGCAUGAAAAAAAAAUGCUGUUGUUGAUACAUCUUCUCCUUGUUUUUGACACAAAUUAGGUAACUCCCUGACUUACUGUCUCUUCGUAAAAUUGGUAGCGGUGUGAUAAAUGUCUACGCAGUAUAUAGAGAUAUUCAUAACAAAGACUUAUGCUAUGAAAAAUGUCCUUUUUUCACAAUAGAAAGAAUAACUCAUGCUCUAUAUAAUUUGCACCUAUAUAUUUUGUUGUUGUAUAUCCUGGUUUGCUCACUAAGCUGAAGUUCAUUUUCUUAACGUGAUUCUUGAGUCCAAAACUGACAAAUCAAAAGGAUCAAAUAUUGGGCUCCUAUAUUUUAUGUACAGUAGUUGUGAAGUUCACCUCAGUGGGUCUGCAUGAAAGCCCCCGCUUUCAUGAAAAUAAUUGUUCUUCAUUCUCAAAAGCAAUUUUGAAAUUCAGACUCAGAGACUUAUUCCUUUGUUUUGUGUUUCGUGGAUGAAUAAUCCCAGAUAUAAGGAUAAUUAUUCUAUUUUUGAUUAUUUAAUAAUAUAUUCAAUAUUCACUCAAAAAUAUAUAUGAUUGCUGGUUUUGAUAAUUGUAUUAGGGUGAUAUAUAUAUAAUGUUAAUAUCAGGGAAAACAAAGUGAAAGGAAUGGAAAUGUAAAAAGAAAAAUAUUUAUUGACUUGCUACUGUGGGCCAGGAAUUGUGUGAGGUACUUGGUAUACAAUGGUGAUCAACCAGGCAGAACCAAUAAUUCCCUCCUCUCCUCAUUUAGUUAAGAAGUUGUCAUUUAAUCAUACCAAAGCCUUUUUCACGGCAAUUGAAGCUGAUUUGUAUUUCAUUCUCUUCUAGAAAACCUUGAUUUUACUACUUACAGAGCACUUACAGCAUGUUAAGCACUCAUUCCUAGGUGUUUUCCAUAUUUGAUUAUUUCAUUCUUACAAUGCACUGACUCAGUAAGUGUUAUUACCCAUGAUUUGCAGAUGAGGAAACAAGUGUAAGUUAAAUUAGUUAUCUCGUAUAUAAAGUGGCUGAGGCUGGGCACAGUGGCUCACACCUGUAAUCUCAGCACUUUGAAAGGGUGAGGUGGGUGGAUCACUUGAGGUCAGGAGUUUAAGAUCAGCUUGGCCAACAUGGCAAAACCCUGUCUCUACAAAAAAAUAAAACAAAAAUUAGCUGGGCGGGGUUGUGCACCUGUCAUUCUAGCCACUCAGGACACUGAGGCAAGAGAACCACUUGAACCCGGGAGAUGGAGGUUGCAGUGAACUGAGAUUGUACCACUGCAUUCCAGCCUGGGUGACAAGAGUGAAACUCCAUCUCAAUAAUAGUAAUAAUAAUAAUAAAUAAAUAAUAAUAAAGUGGCCAAUCCGAGACUUACUUUCACAUGGGAUCAUCUAAAUCCAUAGAAUGUUCUCAUCUCACCUCACAGACCAUUGCUGAUGAUAAACACCUCCAUGCUGUGUUCUUCCAGACUUGAAUAUUCUCUCAGGAUAAAGACGGCCUGAUUCCAUUCCUUUCCUCAUAGCCUUGUUCUUACAGCAUUUAUUACACACCAACAGUCUACCUACCUACCUCUUCCUGUGGUUUACUUAGCAGAACCAUUAACUGGACAUCAGUUUCUUAAUCAUGGCUUGGUUAAUGUAGACGGAGUUAAGAGGAUGGGUGCAGACCCAAUAUUAUGGAGUAAAUGAUGCCUUCUGAUCAACAUCACGUAAAUGACAAAGAAUUUUAGUACUGGAGAUGUGAGUGGGUUUGAAGUAUCUCUACUUCUUUUAAAUGUUACUUCCA
ensembl:lncRNA